GCAAGUGAUUGUGUUGGCACCUGAGGGGCAGAGUCAGGCUCGCUCUUGGUUCAAAGAAAAUGUCUCCAGAGACAGGCAUGCUGGCUUGGCCAUCUCUUCCAUGACACACAGUCACUGAAGAAAUGCUUUGCCUGGCCUCAUAUAGGGGUGAUGCAACGAAUCCCAGGUGUGUGAAACUUACAGGCAGUUCUAUCUCGUAAGCUCCUGGAGAUACUGUUGGCUUUGUUGGGCAGCACCAUACAGGUAAGUUUAAAGAGUUUAAAGUUGUUUUAUUUUUUAAAUCACCUUGAGAUCUCUGACUUAGAGUU
rnacentral:lncRNA from 1 species